UGCUGCAUGGCUGUCGUCAGCUCGUGUUGUGAAAUGUUGGGUUAAGUCCCGCAACGAGCGCAACCCUUAUCCUUGUUGCCAGCGGUCCGGCCGGGGAACUCAAAGGAGACUGCCAGUGAUAAACUGGAGGAAGGUGGGGAUGACGUCAAGUCAUCAUGGCCCUUACGACCAGGGCUACACACGUGCUACAAUGGCGCAUACAAAGAGAAGCGACCUCGCGAGAGCAAGCGGACCUCAUAAAGUGCGUCGUAGUCCGGAUUGGAGUCUGCAACUCGCCUACAUAAAGUCGGAAUCGCUAGUAAUCGCGGAUCAGCACGCCGCGGUGAAUACGUUCCCGGGCCUU
rnacentral:rRNA from 1 species